CUGCUUUCUUCUUCUUCUCCAGUUUAUUUAUAUAUGUUUGUGAUUAUUGUUGUUCAAGGUUUGCAGAACCUGUUUUGUUGUUCAUACCGACGUUUGCAGAAGCAUUUUAGUUCUUCAUACCAACAUGGCAAGGAAAUUUGAUAUGAUCAAGGAUAUUGAUGGAAAAAGGGAGACUUUGAAACUUGCUGUCCGAAUUGUGGAUCUGUGGUUUGUUGAGUCAUGGGAUUCAAAACGAAAUAUGGAGAUGAUUCUGACAGAUCAAAAGGUAAUGUAUGUUUGUAUUGUCAUU